GACGAACGCUGGCGGCGUGCUUAACACAUGCAAGUCGUACGAAGUGGCGAACGGGUGAGUAAUACGUCGGUCACCUGCCCUCCUUUUUGGGAUAAGCCUUGGAAACGGGGUCUAAUACUGCAUAAAGGGGGAUGGGCUCGCGGCCUAUCCGCUUGUUGGUGGGGUGAUGGCCUACCAAGGGGGUGGCGGGUAGCGGGCCUGAGGGGGUAACGGGCUAAAUGGGUGCUGGGAUACGGCCGAGACUCCUCCGGGAUGCAGCUGUGGGGGGUGUUGGACGAUGGGAGAAAGCCUCAUGCGGCGACGCCGUGAGGGGGAUGAGGGCUUUGGGGUUUGAAACCUCUUUCGCUGUCGAACGGGUAGGUAGCGAAGAAGCGCCGGCUAACUACGUGCCAGCAGCCGCGGUAAUUC
rnacentral:rRNA from 1 species